AUAGUACUCCCUCCGUCAUAAAAUUCUUGUCUUAGGGUUAUCUAGAAAAGGAUGUAUCAAAAUAUACUAAAACAUGACUAGAUACAUUUAUAUCUAAACAAAUCUAAGACAAUAAUUUUAGAAUGGAGGGAGUAGGAA
rfam:Hordeum vulgare subsp. vulgare, WGS project CAJW01000000 data, contig: morex_contig_53847